GGGGACAGAGCUCAGUUGGUAGAGCGCUUGCCUUAUAUGCAUAAGUCCCUGGGUGUCUCUG
rnacentral:tRNA from 1 species